rnacentral:rRNA from 1 species
AGACUCCGUACGGGAGGCAGCAGUGGGGAAUAUUGCACAAUGGGCGAAAGCCUGAUGCAGCGACGCCGCGUGAGCGAAGAAGUAUUUCGGUAUGUAAAGCUCUAUCAGCAGGGAAGAUAAUGACGGUACCUGACUAAGAAAGCACCGGCUAAAUACGUGC